CCUUCUUCAACACACACGGAUCCGUGUCCAGCGAUCCCGUUCACAGAUUUAUCUGUGUUUCGGUUGAUUACUGGGCAGUUCGACGUUAUUCGGAGCCAUCACCUUUUGUGUGGAUGGUUUUUUGGCAAUCCGGUCGACAGAUCUCAGAUUAAAUGCCAGCUUCAGGUGUUCACUCUGGUCUUGAGCUCCCUUUUGGUGAACUCGGCUGGAGAGCCUGGGUGCUGGCGGCGUCAUAUUCCUGAUCCCUUCGCUGAGGCCGUCGGCUGGUGAAGUUAGGGAAAAACCAUGACAAGCCAACAUAC
rnacentral:sRNA from 1 species